rnacentral:rRNA from 1 species
UUACUUGGUAGCUUGCUAUCAUGUAAAGGAGUUGCGAACGGGUGAGUAACGCGUAGGUAACCUGCCUGGAAGCGGGGGAUAACUAUUGGAAACGAUAGCUAAUACCGCAUAAGAACAUUUACUGCAUGGUAGAUGUUUAAAAGGUGCAAAUGCAUCACUACCAGAUGGACCUGCGUUGUAUUAGCUAGUAGGUGAGGUAACAGCUCACCUAGGCGACGAUACAUAGCCGACCUGAGAGGGUGAUCGGCCACACUGGGACUGAGACACGGCCCAGACUCCUACGGAAGGCAGCAGUAGGGAAUCUUCGGCAAUGGGGGCAACCCUGACCGAGCAACGCCGCGUGAGUGAAAGAAGGUUUUCGGAUCGUAAAGCUCUGUUGUAAGAGAAGAACGAAGUGUGGGAGAGGUGGAAAGUUCACACUGUGACGGUAUCUUACCAGAAAGGGACGGCUAACUACGUGCCAGCAGCCGCGGUAAUACGUAGGUCCCGAGCGUUGUCCGGAUUUAUUGGGCGUAAAGCGAGCGCAGGCGGUUUGAUAAGUCUGAAGUUAAAGGCUGUGGCUCAACCAUAGUUCGCUUUGGAAACUGUCAAACUUGAGUGCAGAAGGGGAGAGUGGAAUUCCAUGUGUAGCGGUGAAAUGCGUAGAUAUAUGGAGGAACACCAGUGGCGAAAGCGGCUCUCUGGUCUGUAACUGACGCUGAGGCUCGAAAGCGUGGGGAGCAAACAGGAUUAGAUACCCUGGUAGUCCACGCCGUAAACGAUGAGUGCUAGGUGUUAGGCCCUUUCCGGGGCUUAGUGCCGCAGCU